AACGAACGCUGGCGGCAGGCCUAACACAUGCAAGUCGAGCGCCCCGCAAGGGGAGCGGCGGACGGGUGAGUAACGCGUGGGAACGUACCCCUUUCUACGGAAUAGCCUCGGGAAACUGGGAGUAAUACCGUAUAAGCUCUUCGGAGGAAAGAUUUAUCGGGAAGGGAUCGGCCCGCGUUGGAUUAGGUAGUUGGUGGGGUAAUGGCCUACCAAGCCGACGAUCCAUAGCUGGUUUGAGAGGAUGAUCAGCCACACUGGGACUGAGACACGGCCCAGACUCCUACGGGAGGCAGCAGUGGGGAAUCUUAGACAAUGGGCGCAAGCCUGAUCUAGCCAUGCCGCGUGAGCGAUGAAGGCCUUAGGGUUGUAAAGCUCUUUCAGUGGGGAAGAUAAUGACUGUACCCACAGAAGAAGCCCCGGCUAACUCCGUGCCAGCCGCCGCCGUAAAAC
rnacentral:rRNA from 1 species